GAUGAAGAACGUAGCGAAAUGCGAUACUUGGUGUGAAUUGCAGAAUCCCGUGAACCAUCGAGUCUUUGAACGCAAGUUGCGCCCGAAGCCAUCAGGUUGAGGGCACGUCUGCCUGGGCGUCACAUAUCGUUGCCCAAUGCCUAUUGCAGUGCAAUAGGAAUUUCUAGGGCGAAUGAUGGCUUCCCGUGAGCGUUGUUGCCUCGCGGUUGGUUGAAAAUCGAGUCCUUGGUAGGGUGUGCCAUGGUAGAUGGUGGUCGAGUUAGAACGAUACCGAUCAUGUGCAUGCUCCCCAAAAUAUGGCCUCUAUGACACACACGCGUCUUUUGACGCUCAUGACGAGACCUCAGGUCAGGCGGGGCUACCCGCUGAAUUUAAGCAUAUCAAUAAGCGGAGGA
rnacentral:misc_RNA from 1 species